rnacentral:lncRNA from 1 species
GACCGAACCGAUUUAAUUUAAUAAUUUAGUUCGGUUUUAAAAUAAAAUCGGUUCGGUUCGGUUUUAAUUUUUAAAAAUUUCGGGUUGAUCGGUUCGGUUCGAUUUUGGAGUCAAAAUAAUUCGGUCGAACUGAACCGACCGAAUUUAAUUUUAAACGCAGCGUUUUAUUAUAGGGUUAUAUCAAUUCACUUCCCAUCCCUCGUCAUUCUUCACGCAGCGCAUACCUUCGCCUCUCUCAAACCAAAUCCCUAAUCUCCAUCCUUCACGUCUUCAUCUCUCUUCAUCUUCAUCUCUCUUCAUCUUCAUCUCUCUUCAGUCCCGUAGCCACAGCCACCCACCCCAGUCGCCAGUCUCACAGCCACCCACCGGCCACACACCCUGCCACCCACUCGCCAAAGCCAGUCUCUUCUCUCCAUCCUUUGCCGCUUCAGUCCCGCAGCCAAUUGAUUUUG